UGUCCCCCAAGGGGUUCGACGGGUUAACCCGCCCUGGUGCCCGGCCGGGAAUUCCCGGGCCCAGAUUUCUUGGGAGGCAGCAGUGGGGAAUAUUCCCCAAUGGGCGCAAGCUUGAUGCAGCAACGCCGCUUGAGGGAUGACGGCCUUCCGGGUUGUAAACCUUUUUUAGCAGGGAAGAAGCGAAAGUGACGGUACCUGCAGAAAAAGCGCCGGCUAACUACGUGCCAGCAGCCGCGGUAAUACGUAGGGCGCAAGCGUUAUCCGGAAUUAUUGGGCGUAAAGAGCUCGUAGGCGGUCUGUCGCGUCUGCUGUGAAAACCCGAGGCUCAACCUCGGGCCUGCAGUGGGUACGGGCAGACUAGAGUGCGGUAGGGGAGAUUGGAAUUCCUGGUGUAGCGGUGGAAUGCGCAGAUAUCAGGAGGAACACCGAUGGCGAAGGCAGAUCUCUGGGCCGUAACUGACGCUGAGGAGCGAAAGGGUGGGGAGCAAACAGGCUUAGAUACCCUGGUAGUCCACCCCGUAAACGUUGGGAACUAGUUGUGGGGGCCUUUCCACGGUCUCCGUGACGCAGCUAACGCAUUAAGUUCCCCGCCUGGGGAGUACGGCCGCAAGGCUAAAACUCAAAGGAAUUGACGGGGACCCGCACAAGCGGCGGAGCAUGCGGAUUAAUUCGAUGCAACGCGAAGAACCUUACCAAGGCUUGACAUAUAGAGGAAAGAUCUGGAAACAGUUCCCCCGCAAGGUCUCUAUACAGGUGGUGCAUGGUUGUCGUCAGCUCGUGUCGUGAGAUGUUGGGUUAAGUCCCGCAACGAGCGCAACCCUCGUUCUAUGUUGCCAGCACGUAAUGGUGGGAACUCAUGGGAUACUGCCGGGGUCAACUCGGAGGAAGGUGGGGAUGACGUCAAAUCAUCAUGCCCCUUAUGUCUUGGGCUUCACGCAUGCUACAAUGGCCGGUACAAAGGGCUGCAAUACCGUGAGGUGGAGCGAAUCCCAAAAAGCCGGUCCCAGUUCGGAUUGAGGUCUGCAACUCGACCUCAUGAAGUCGGAGUCGCUAGUAAUCGCAGAUCAGCAACGCUGCGGUGAAUACGUUCCCGGGUCUUGUACACACCGCCCGUCAAGUCAUGAAAGUCGGUAACACCUGAAGCCGGUGGCCUAACCCUUGUGGAGGGAGCCGUCG
rnacentral:rRNA from 1 species